CCUACGGGUGGCAGCAGUGGGGAAUAUUGCACAAUGGGCGCAAGCCUGAUGCAGCCAUGCCGCGUGUGUGAAGAAGGCCUUCGGGUUGUAAAGCACUUUCAGCGGGGAGGAAGGCGGUGAGGUUAAUAACCUCAUCGAUUGACGUUACCCGCAGAAGAAGCACCGGCUAACUCCGUGCCAGCAGCCGCGGUAAUACGGAGGGUGCAAGCGUUAAUCGGAAUUACUGGGCGUAAAGCGCACGCAGGCGGUCUGUCAAGUCGGAUGUGAAAUCCCCGCGCUCAACCUGGGAACUGCAUUCGAAACUGGCAGGCUAGAGUCUUGUAGAGGGGGGUAGAAUUCCAGGUGUAGCGGUGAAAUGCGUAGAGAUCUGGAGGAAUACCGGUGGCGAAGGCGGCCCCCUGGACAAAGACUGACGCUCAGGUGCGAAAGCGUGGGGAGCAAACAGGAUUAGAUACCCCGGUAGUC
rnacentral:rRNA from 1 species